AACGAACGCUGGCGGCAUGCCUAACACAUGCAAGUCGAACGAGAACGUCCUGUCUAGUGGCGCAGGGGUGCGUACGGCGGGGGAACCUACCCGUAGGUUCGCAAUCACUGCCCGAAAGGUGUGCUAAUACCGGUUAAUCUCUUCGCGCCAUAGAGUUAUCGCGUUUGGAUGGGCGCGAGUUGGAUUAGCUGGUUGGUAGGGUAAAAGCCUACUAAGGCGUGGUUGCAUAGCUGGUCUGAGAGGAUGAUCAGCGACACUGGGACUGAGACACGGCGCAGACUCGUAGGGGAGGGAGGAGAGGGGGAUAUAGGAAAGUGGGCGGAAGGCUGAAACAGCACGGGCGGGAGAGUGCUGAUGGCCUUAGGGACGUAAAUCUCUUUUACCCAGGAUGAUAAUGACGGUACCGGGAGAAUAAGCCCCGGCUAACUCCGUG
rnacentral:rRNA from 1 species